CCUACGGGAGGCAGCAGUGAGGAAUAUUGGUCAAUGGACGCGAGCCUGAACCAGCCAAGCAGCGUGAAGGAUGACUGCCCUACGGGUUGUAAACUUCUUUUAUAUAGGAAUAAAGUGAUCCACGUGUGGCUUUUUGUAUGUACCAUAUGAAUAAGGAUCGGCUAACUCCGUGCCAGCAGCCGCGGUAAUACGGAGGAUCCGAGCGUUAUCCGGAUUUAUUGGGUUUAAAGGGAGCGUAGGUGGAUUGUUAAGUCAGUUGUGAAAGUUUGCGGCUCAACCGUAAAAUUGCAGUUGAUACUGGCAGUCUUGAGUACAGUAGAGGUGGGCGGAAUUCGUGGUGUAGCGGUGAAAUGCUUAGAUAUCACGAAGAACUCCGAUUGCGAAGGCAGCUUACUAGACUGCAACUGACACUGAGGCUCGAAAGUGUGGGUAUCAAACAGGAUUAGAUACCCGUGUAGUC
rnacentral:rRNA from 1 species